rnacentral:lncRNA from 1 species
AUAUGGGUAAUCCUUAGUAUACUCAAAAACUUCGUUGUGGUGUCAAGACCAUUUUCGGAAGAGCGUGGAAUAGUAGAGUUCUUCUUCCUUUUAUUCCAAAAUGAGGGCUACGCGGCCGAAUCCUUCAAUCCGAGGCGAUCGAAGUGAGGCAGAGUUUCGUCCUGAGCAAUGAAGAUAGAGACCAAUCACUUUGAUCGUGGUUGUUCUAGCCAAGCCGCUUCGGAUCCAGCUAGCCCUUGAAAGGAUUAACUAAAAG